CCCCAGUGCGUUACUUACCUCGACUCUUAGCUUGUCGGGGACGGUAACCGGGACUCGGGGUGCCUGCUCCUGCUCCUGUCGCCUUUGCCACCAAAUCCACAGUCAUCAUGCGUGAGUGUAUCUCCAUCCACGUUGGCCAGGCUGGUGUCCAGAUUGGCAAUGCCUGCUGGGAGCUCUACUGCCUGGAACACGGCAUCCAGCCUGAUGGCCAGAUGCCAAGUGACAAGACCAUUGGGGGAGGAGAUGACUCCUUCAACACCUUCUUCAGUGAGACAGGCGCUGGCAAGCACGUGCCCAGGGCAGUGUUUGUAGACCUGGAACCCACAGUCAUUGAUGAAGUUCGAACUGGCACCUACCGUCAACUUUUCCACCCUGAGCAGCUCAUCACAGGCAAGGAAGAUGCUGCCAAUAACUAUGCCCGUGGGCACUACACCAUUGGCAAGGAGAUCAUUGACCUCGUCUUGGACCGGAUCAGAAAACUGGCUGACCAGUGCACAGGUCUUCAGGGCUUCCUGGUCUUCCACAGCUUUGGUGGGGGCACUGGCUCUGGCUUCACCUCCCUGCUGAUGGAGCGUCUCUCUGUGGACUAUGGCAAGAAGUCCAAGCUGGAGUUCUCCAUUUACCCCGCCCCCCAGGUGUCCACAGCUGUAGUUGAGCCCUACAACUCUAUCCUCACCACCCACACCACCCUGGAGCACUCUGAUUGUGCCUUCAUGGUGGACAAUGAGGCCAUCUAUGACAUCUGUCGUAGAAACCUCGAUAUUGAGCGCCCAACUUACACUAACCUGAACCGCCUUAUUAGCCAGAUUGUGUCUUCCAUCACAGCUUCCCUGAGGUUUGAUGGGGCCCUGAAUGUUGACCUGACAGAAUUCCAGACCAAUCUGGUGCCCUAUCCCCGCAUCCACUUCCCCCUGGCCACAUAUGCCCCUGUCAUCUCUGCUGAGAAAGCCUGUAGCAGAGAUCACCAAUGCUUGCUUUGAGCCAGCCAACCAGAUGGUGAAAUGUGACCCUCGCCAUGGUAAAUACAUGGCCUGCUGCCUGUUGUACCGUGGUGAUGUGGUUCCCAAAGAUGUUAAUGCUGCCAUUGCCACCAUCAAGACCAAGCGCAGCAUCCAGUUUGUGGAUUGGUGUCCCACUGGUUUCAAGGUUGGCAUCAAUUACCAGCCUCCCACUGUGGUUCCUGGUGGAGACCUGGCCAAGGUGCAGCGCGCUGUGUGCAUGCUGAGCAACACCACAGCCAUUGCUGAGGCCUGGGCUCGCCUGGACCACAAGUUUGACCUGAUGUAUGCCAAGCGUGCCUUUGUCCACUGGUAUGUGGGUGAGGGGAUGGAGGAAGGAGAGUUUUCUGAGGCCCGUGAGGACAUGGCUGCCCUAGAGAAGGAUUAUGAGGAGGUUGGUAUGGAUUCUGUUGAAGGAGAGGGUGAGGAAGAAGGAGAGGAGUACUAAUCACUCAUUCCUUUGGCCCUGCAGCAUGUCAUGCUCCCAGAACUUCAGCUUCACCAUUAGCUGGCAGUCACUAAAAUGUUUCUGACUAGAUUCUGUUCAACUGUGAUCAUGUCUGUCUUUUUCCAUGUGUGUAAGGUUUUAAUCCAUUAUGUCUCAAAAGUAAAGGCUUUAAG